rnacentral:lncRNA from 1 species
GACCCUCAUAAAGGGAUGAGUGUCCUUAUAAGAGGAGGAAGAGUCAUUUCUAUCUCUGUCUCUCUGUCCUGUCUUCCUUCUGUCCCUCCACAGGAACACAGAGGAGAGUCCAUGUGAGAGGCAGUAAGAAGGCAACUGUCAGCAAUACAAGUUUUCCCCUUCCGCUGUCCUGGAGAGAGGAGGAGAAGGAAAAGGCAGGAGAGGAGGGAUGGAGCAGACCAUGACUCCCUUUCCCACUGCAGGACCCUGAGCUGGGGGAAGGGAGGAGCUUUGCGGUGAAGGUAAGAGUAAAGCUUUUCAUCUACCUAGAUCCGUGAUCACCUAACAGUGAAUCUCCUCUAAAAAUGAGCCAAAGCAUCAAGAAAACUAUAUGAAUCUGCCUAAGG